UCCUGCAGCCGUGACUUCCCAGGCUGCGCACACUGGCCUUGGCGUGGCCACUGUGAGAGGCAGGAGGUGGCCAGGGAACAGCUGGCAUCACCGUCUCAUGGGCUGGAACAUGAGAUCUUCAGAGAUUUUUGCUGCUCAGGUCAUAUCACUCGCUGGCAACACUGGAACAACCCCACUCAAACAUCACGGAGCCACCAGUGGAGAGUGGGCCCUCUGUCUCCAUAGAAUCAUGAUGCCAUUGCCUGGGUCCCUUUCCAGCAGGGAUUAAGGUCACUUUGCUUCCCCCAGGCUCCUCAAAAAUCCACUUCACCUCUUUUACUGACUGCUGGAAGGAAUUUGAGGAGCAUCAGCAAAUCCACAGUGGAGGUGUGUGGCUGCCCUCCUCUCCCAAGACCUGUGUCACAUCCUGUUGAUGCUCCUCCUCCUCUCUGGGAGCAGACCAGUUCUCCCAGUAGCUGAGGAGUCACUGGAGGGAUCCCGGCGUGCGACUCUCCCGCCUACAGCUGCUAAAGGAAUAAUUUGCAAUCACCCAGAGCCCAGGCUGCCUGCCCAGCCCGGCCGGCAUCCAAGCAAUCAAUUCCCAUUCAGCGCGGUGGCGUCCCUUCCUGCUCUCGCAAACAAUGACAAAUGGAGCACUGCAUCGACUUGGAUGGAGCAGCAAGCAUCGGGCAGGAGGAAUAAUUACCCAUUUGCCAGAUGAGAUAGGACGUGUGGUUUUCCCAUGCUGCUUCCCCGGAGCGGGGCAGCUCACAGGAGCUGAGUGCGGAGGCAGGGAGAGGGUCCUCACUGCAGCCGCAGAGCAGAUCCUGGUGGUGAUGCGUCGGCAAGAGAUGCUUUGAGGGUCCCCAAGACUGGCAUGUCUCCAGCGUGGCUGGGGAGCCAGCAGUGGGGAGAGCGUAGCUUUGCUGGAGUCCAAGUAGUGGCUGUGCUAUCUCCUCAGUGUCCAGGGCAGCGGUGGGAUGAGCUUCUACAAAGCUCUCCAGAUGUUUGGAGGGGACCAGGUAAGCCUGAGAUCUUCUCCAUGGCAGAAGGGCCACAUCUAGAGCAGGUUUUGCACCAUCCAGGCUGCCUUCUCCACGUGAAUUCACAAUCAGAGUGUGUCUCUCCUGGAGUUAAAAUGUACUCCCUGGCUCCCUUCGACCAAGGGACAGAAGAACUCCUUGCCAUGGAUGAGGAGGUGGGAGGAUGAGCUCUCUGAACUGGGGUACACCAGCAUCAAAAUGUCCCCAGGCUGGUCCCAGCCCCUUCCCCAGUUGCUGGAAGUCUAGAGAUAAACUGCUUCAGGAAAAUCCUGUCCAUGCAGAGAUGUGGAAUGAUGUCUGUGUGUCACUACAGCUUUCCUCUUUUCUUCCUUUAAUUAAAAAGAAAAUGUCUCCCUCCAAAGUCAUUAAUUACUAAUGACACAAUUAGAACCAAUAAAGAGGGAUAGGAAGAAUAAGAUGAAAAAGAAAAAAAAGAGGGGAAAAAAAGCAAACCAAAACCAGAACCCAAAAACCAUCUGGCAAUUUGAGACAUUUGAAGCUUGAAAGAAAUGAAGGAAAUAAUUGCUCGAUUUAAACUUUAUUCUGAUUCCUGCUAGGCCCGCACAGGAUGGGCAGUGUGCGGAGGGAAGCCACCUUUCCAGUGCUCCUCCCUUCCAUCAGAGGAAGGAGAUGAGUCUCUCUGUCUCAUGCAACCUGAUUUUCCUGCUUGGAGGCAGACCCCAAGGCAAUGUUUCCCAUCACAGUCCUUUUCUGCAGUCUACCUACUUUCCGUGCAGGGAACCUGGAUUUAGCACAGUAAUCCCCACACUCACAUUUUUCCACAUCUACCUUGCCAGCACUGGCAUCUCUCGUGGCCUCCCCCCUACUUCUCUCUCUCCAACCAUCCCAUCUCCCCACGCAAGAAUUCACAGCUCUUCCCUCCUGCCCUGACCCCUCUUCUGCUGGCAACCAGGGAUGGAGCAGAGCUGUGAGCUGAGGACAAGCAGGGACAACUCUUGAUGUCCAAGUUUAAAGCUCCUCAGCUUUGAAAGGCCGGCUUAAAUUGCUUGAAGACUCUCUGAAAAAUAGAUUAAGGGCGUGGGAAGAGGGAAGCCCAGCAGAGCUGCUGGCUGCCUGCUGAGUGCUUAUUAUUUCUGUCAGCUGAGUGUUUUAACUCGAUAAUCUCAGAUUGAAAUGGGUUUCAGGAAGGGAGGGAGCAGUGGGAGGUGAGGCGGCUGCUCCCGCGGGAGUCUGGAUUAGGCAAAGACUGAGUUUCAGCUUCUCUUUCGAUGGUGAAAAGCAAUCUCUGACCUGGCGGUGGGAUGGGACUGCCCCCAUGGGUUUGGCGGAGGAAUGGGUGAAGCAGGUCACCUCGUGGUAGAUCUUUAGGCUCCCCCCGUAGUUCUCUGUCCUGGUCAUCCCUGGUCCUCAGGAAGUGAAGGUACCCAAAGCUGGGCUUUGUGCCCCGUGGUAGGCAUGAGGACCAUGGCACUCCCUCUCCUCUGGGGCCUAUGAGGGACGAUGGGCUUUCUGUAGGUCCUGCACUAAAUCCCCUGGCACUGCUCUGUCCCAGAGAGGAGGUUUUCCUGCUUGCUAAGGGCUCUGGCACAAGCAUGCCUGAGUGAUCUCAGAGGUGGUUAUUUUUCUUGGUAGAUAUACAAGAAGGGGUGACCCCACUCCUCCAUGCACA